rnacentral:rRNA from 1 species
CCUACGGGGGGCAGCAGUAGGGAAUAUUGCUCAAUGGGGGAAACCCUGAAGCAGCAACGCCGCGUGGGGGAUGAAGUUUUUCGGAUUGUAAAGUCCUAUUGUUAGAGAAUAUAAUAAAGGUUUCUAAAGAAUAAACACCCGCCAACUCCGUGCCAGCCGCCGCGGUAAUACGGAGGGGGCAAGGGUUACUCGGAAUCACUGGGUGGAAAGAGCGCGUAGGCAGGAUAGCAAGUCAGAUGUGAAAUCCUAUGGCUUAACCAUAGAACUGCAUUUGAAACUGUUAUUCUAGAGUAUGGGAGAGGUAGGUGGAAUUCUUGGUGUAGGGGUAAAAUGCGUAGAGAUCAAGAGGAACACUCAUUGCGAAGGCGACCUGCUAGAACAUAACUGACGCUGAGGCGCGAAAGCGUGGGGAGCAAACAGGAUUAGAUACCCGUGUAGUC